rnacentral:lncRNA from 1 species
AUUUACAACCCAAUUAUAAUGUUUUUGUUAUAACAGACACCAAGAUGACUGUAUGAUAAAGGAAUUUAAAGUAUUCUCUUUUUACCACUAAUGUACUGCCUGUGAGAGGACCAGGAGGAAGUAAUCUGUGUCAGUCACUGUUUUAGCCUUAAGAUGUUCAAAAUUAGAAAAUACUUCUUCAAUAUGAAGGAGUAGGAAAAGUCAGACAUAGCUUUGCAGGUCCUCACCUAUUUAUGAGAGGAGAAGGCACAAGUAAACCAGGGCAUUGUUUAAAACUGUAUCCUUAAAACAGGGUUAGCAAGAGAGAAAAGGUGCCAAAGCAAAUUCAAACUGAGCAUAACAAGGAUGGAAGAGCAAGUUAAUUGGAACCAGUAAGUAGCUUGUGUAGGGUAAAUUUAAAUUUUUUCUUACCUCAUUUUGCCAGCUUUCAAUGUAUUUGUAUUUACUCAUCCACAUCUGAAUUUCACUUUACAUUUCCAUUUACUUAUUUCUUGUACUCCCUUUUCACAGACUCUCUGAAAUGGAAUACAAAUGCAAACUAUGGGCUCAGGACUUCUACAAAAAGACAGAGACAUGGAGAAAGACAGUUAAGGAAACAGGACCAGCAGUUUGAGGAGCUGUGACGCACCACAGGAAAAGUACAGAGCAAGUUUGGGUGAUGACUUUGAUCAACUCUAUCUUUGACUUUUAGUCAGUCUUUGUAAUUAUUGUUAUUUUCUUUCAUUUUAUUGUGGUUUUUCAAAAUGUAUCUGCACUUUACAAAUGCUAUUUUCCUCAGCUGAAAGAAUCCGAACAAACAAGCAGAAAACCAAGCCAAAAGCACAACUCCAAAGUACAUAUUAUUCCCAGCUAUACAUUCAGAAGGCAGAAAUAAA